rnacentral:tmRNA from 1 species
GGGGGCGAACUAGAUUCGACGGGGAUGGCGGUGCGCCGGAUAGCGAGCCGAGGACCCGUCCCUCGUUAAUCCGCGGGAACGCUACAAGUGCCAACGAGUCCGAAGAACUCGCUUUAGCUGCUUAACCAGCUAACGUUACCGGCGCGGCGCCUGCCCGGCACCGGCUAACGUAAAAGCGGCAGGCUACCGCGGCGGGGUGCCCGGCCGCCGCGGGAAACGAGGGCUGGGUUCCCGCCGCCGCGCCCCGUGCGGCCGGCGGGAAUGACGACAAACGCGGGGCUACGCUCGUAGAGGUCCGGUGUGACGUAUCUUCGGACGGGACGGGCAGCACGUCCCCGCCUCCACC